rnacentral:rRNA from 1 species
GAUGAACGCUGGCGGCGUGCCUAAUACAUGCAAGUCGAGCGAACAGACGAGGAGCUUGCUCCUCUGACGUUAGCGGCGGACGGGUGAGUAACACGUGGAUAACCUACCUAUAAGACUGGGAUAACUUCGGGAAACCGGAGCUAAUACCGGAUAAUAUAUUGAACCGCAUGGUUCAAUAGUGAAAGACGGUUUUGCUGUCACUUAUAGAUGGAUCCGCGCCGCGUUAGCUAGUUGGUAAGGUAACGGCUUACCAAGGCAACGAUGCGUAGCCGACCUGAGAGGCGGAUCGGCCACACGGGAGCUGAGACACGGUCCAGACUCCUACGGGAGGCAGCAGUAGGGAAUGUUCCGCAAUGGGCGAAAGCUUGACGGAGCAACGCCGCGUGAGUGAUGAAGGUCUUCGGAUCGUAAAACUCUGUUAUUGGGGAAAAACAAAUGUGUAAGUAACUAUGCACGUCUUGACGGUACCUAAUCAGAAAGCAACGGCUAACUACGUG